UGAAAUUUAUUAAUUACGCUUAUUGUAUAUUUAGGUUUAAUUGCCUUUUGCAUCAUGCUUGAUUGAAUUGAAGUUGUAUAACUAAAACUGAAAGCUUCAGAUCUUACUUAUGAUUAUUUUGAAUUGAAUAGAUUUGAGUUAAGUUUUGGAAAUAAAUAAGUAUGUAGUGAAAAGCUAGUCGUUGAAGUUUAUAUCCGUUUGAUUACUUUAUUUUCAUUUAACAUCUAAGGUUAUGAUAUCUUAGGUGAGUUUACACUAGUAUAAUUAAAGGAUUUUAUAAUAAGGUUAAAAAUACUUUAUUUUAGUAAGUUUGUUAUAAUAUUUGUUGUUAUUAUGUAUGGUUAAUGUUUGUAGUAAUCUAUUGAAUAUUUAGUAUUUAACUAUUAUUAAAUGAGUAAUAUUAAUAUGUUGUGUUAUUUCUCAAGUUUUGUCCGUCUGUUUAUUAAAAACAUUUCUAAAUUUAAGUUUAUUUAGUAAUACCUGCCCCAUGCUUGUUGUAAAUGGCCGCAGUAUAUUGACUGUGCGAAGGUAGCAUAAUUAAUUGCCUUAUAAUUGAAGGCUUGUUUGAAUGGUUUGACGAGAUAAAUAUAAAUAUCACAUAUAUGUUUGAAAUUAAUUUUGGGGGCACAGAAUCCUCAAGGUUUAAUUAGACGGAAAGACCCCGGGAUCUUUUGUUUUUGCCUGGGGCAGGUAUUAAUAUUUCAUUAAUAUUUGGACCCUAAUGGUUUAUUGGGUUAAGUUACCCCGGGGAUAACAGUGUAAUAAUUAAUGAGAGAUCUUAUCGAAUUAAUAGUUUGCCACCUCGAUGUUGACUUAGGUAAAAAUGUAGACGCAGUAGUUUGUAAUUUGGGUCUGUUCGACCCUUUAUACCUCCAUGAGUUGAGUUAAGACCGGCGUGAGCCAGGUCGGUUCUUAUCUAUUGAGCAGAUUUAUUAGUACGAAAGGACCAUAGAUCUUUUUAUU
rnacentral:rRNA from 1 species